UUUUUUGCUUUAAGGAAAUAAACAACCACUGUUGACAUCCACUGUACAGAGUAUGCAUUUAAUAGCUCAAGACAUGUAUAGAAAUACUAAUGAGUGAUAACUAUUUUUGUAACUUAACAACUGUAAACUGUUGCUCUUGUAACUGUGUAGCAAACAAUCUGUAUCGAUUUAAGCAUGAUAAAUAAACAGUCCAUAGGUCAAGGUGUAUUUUGAAAUAACUUGUAGGACCCAGAGCCUAUCUCAGUGUCAAUUAAAUGGGACAAGAARUCAUGUUACUUAGAGGCUAAAAUCUGGAGUUUACUUCACUAUACAAACCRGAUGUGUGAUUCUAUACAAGUUUGUUUCACUCUGGAGAAAGAAAGAAAUCCCUGCUGCUURAGCCUGAGAGCUGAGAUGAGUCACUUGUGUUCCUUGUGUGUGGGUAGCAGGUGCCACACAGCUUAAUGAGCUGUCACAGGCACUGCCGAGCUGACACCACUCCAUAACGCAGCAGCUUUUCCAUGAGCCAAUGAAUUGCCUAAUGCAAUCAAACUAGAGCUUCRUUAAGGAGCUUCUCUACAUCGCUAUGAGGUAACACUUCACUGACUAUAGUUAUGAAUAUGUGAAAGGUAAUGAUGUAUAUCAUUCUUAAGAACUUCAAGGAAGAAGCAGUAUUUC